CUCUAUGCCAUCUGUUUACAAAAGAUGAGAAACGUUGAAGAAAAUUAUUUCCCUUAGGGCAUAAUGCUCCAGCCAUUCAGAGAGAGGUCUCUCUGGCAUUUUUAAUAAGGAUUUGGUACAAGGAUGGAGACAACAUCAGGACUGCAGAGUCAUUGGCCAGGAAAAACAAAAAUGACUUCCCCCGGUGCCCUAUUUUAGUUUUAUUCUUUGAACUUCCAAGAGUUUAUUUAUUGUUGUUGUUAUUAUUAUUUUUAAUUUGGCACAGACUGUUUCAAAAAUCAUCUUGGUUCCCUUUUUUGAAGUGUGUUCUUUUUUUUUUUUUAAUUGUUGAGACGAUUUCUAAAGUGCUCCACCUCCACCACCUGUCAUCAGAUGGGGGCUGCGGCUGGGAGAACGCUCAUCCUCCUAAGAGCAGCUGUGGACUGAAUGGUGAAGGGCAGCAGCCACAGGAGCAGAGGCAGGCACAGGUUUGAAGGUAGGUGGCAA
rnacentral:lncRNA from 1 species